CCUACGGGAGGCAGCAGUGAGGAAUAUUGGUCAAUGGGCGCGAGCCUGAACCAGCCAAGUAGCGUGAAGGAUGACUGCCCUGCGGAUUGUAAACUUCUUUUGUAAAGGAAUAAAGUGCGGCACGUGUGCCCUUUUGUAUGUACUUUAUGAAUAAGGAUCGGCUAACUCCGUGCCAGCAGCCGCGGUAAUACGGAGGAUGCGAGCGUUAUCCGGAUUUAUUGGGUUUAAAGGGUGCGUAGGCUGUGCGUUAAGUCAGCGGUGAAAUGCCCCGGCUCAACGGGGUGAAGUGCCAUUGAUACUGGCGGGCUGGAGUGGGGGUGAGGUAGGCGGAAUGCGCGGUGUAGCGGUGAAAUGCUUAGAUAUCACGCAGAACCCCGAUUGCGAAGGCAGCUUACGAAGUCGAGAUUGACGCUGAUGCACGAAAGCGUGGGUAUCAAACAGGAUUAGAUACCCGUGUAGUC
rnacentral:rRNA from 1 species